ACUUUCAGUCAGUGAGGAAGGUGGGUAUGUUAAUAGCAUACUCAUUUGACGUUUAGCUGCAGAAGAAGCACCGGCUAACUCCGUGCCAGCAGCCGCGGUAAUACGGAGGGUGCGAGCGUUAAUCGGAAUUACUGGGCGUAAAGCGCAUGCAGGUGGUUUGUUAAGUCAGAUGUGAAAGCCCGGGGCUCAACCUCGGAAUUGCAUUUGAAACUGGCAAACUAGAGUACUGUAGAGGGGGUAGAAUUUCAGGUGUAGCGGUGAAAUGCGUAGAGAUCUGAAGGAAUACCGGUGGCGAAGGCGGCCCCCUGGACAGAUACUGACACUCAGAUGCGAAAGCGUGGGGAGCAAACAGGAUUAGAUACCCUGGUAG
rnacentral:rRNA from 1 species